CUCACAAUCUCUCACUAGCCCCGCAAGCUCUCACCGUAAACUGUCACCAUUUUCAACUCACCACCGUAUUCUCUCAUCGAAACACCAUCACUGGCAUCCUGCAACCUCUCCUCAAUUUGCGUAUGGACGGUUCGAUUCUACCCAUCGAUGUCGGUUCGAUUCUACUCAUUGGUUUGGGUUCGAUUUGGGUUCGAUUCUCCUCAGUUUGAUUAGAGUUCAGCUUAGUUUGUAUUGGGAAGAAGGUGGAGGAGAAAGGGGUUUUGAUUAGGGUUCUUCAUUUUGGGGAUUUCUGAGCAACUCGAUUUAGGGCUUUCUCGAAGCAAUCGAUUUGUGUUCUAUUAAUGCUUUUUGUCGAAUUGGAAUGAUGCUGGGUUACACAAUUUUCUCAGUCUUCUUCUCUCCCCGAAAUAUGAAGUCCAUGGCUCCACGCCAACCUCCGCAUCCCACUCACAAGUAAAUCUGCUAUCCAUUCAAACUAUCUAAGCUCCCAUCUCCUAGCCCAAGCCAGAUCCGCCGCCUCCAAGUCCUCCCUUGCCAAGUAAAGGAAAAUUCUUAAAGGUUGUAUCUUGUGCAGGUUUAGCUUUGGAGUUUUAAAGAGAGUAGUGACUGACCCAUUUGGUGGUUUGUCGAAUUGGAAUGAUGAAGACGGAGAUAUUGACCCUUGCUCUUGGUUUGGGGUUGAAUGCUUAUAUGGAAAAAUUGUGGUCUUUGUUAUAUUAAUGCUCUUUGGUGCUUGGACGAGCUGAGCUUUUGCAAAGGAGGUGAAGUUCAAGAGGAUACUGGAACAUGGCGUGAAAGACUUCAGAAAUGGAAGGAGAUCCUCCAAAAAGAAAAGUUAGCGGAACAGUUGGACUCUGCAAAUUCCAAGUAUGUAGUUGAAUUUGACAUGAAAGAGGUUGAAAACAGUCUUCGCAAGGAUGUAGUGGAGAAGGUAACAGAGACACAAGGAAAAGGGAGUUAUGGAUAGCUAAAAGAUGGUGGCUUUGUCGUCCCAAACUUCCUUAUACAUACUUUCUUCAAAAGCUUGACAGCUCUGAGGUUGCUGCUGUUGUAUUUACAGAAGACGUAAAAAGAAUAUAUGUUACUAUGAAAGAAGGUUUUCCAUUAGAAUAUGUUUACAUCGAAGAAACAGAAGAACUUGCGACAGAAGAACUUGCGAUGAAUGGUUUGAGAAACAACAGGCACAUUCUGGACAUGAUUACUGAGGAACUACUAGAGAAGGAUUACUAGGUUGGAGGUUAUAGAGAUUAGAGAAAAUGAAGGACCUUUCUCCAGUCAUGUUCGAGGAUGUGAGCUAUAGAGCUGAAUUUGUUCAUGUUCCUGACUCUAUACUGAUCAUUCAAACAGCCAAAAAGAUGACUCCAACUGAUAAACCAUUAAAAGGGAUUUCACAGUUUGUUGGAGCUUCAGCAGGAACUUGGAUUCUUAAAAUCCCUGUUAAAUAUGUUUAAACAGUUAUGUUGCCUCCUUUUG